GGAAUCUUCCACAAUGGGCGCAAGCCUGAUGGAGCAACGCCGCGUGAGUGAAGAAGGUCUUCGGAUCGUAAAGCUCUGUUGUAAGAGAAGAACGUGUGUGAGAGUGGAAAGUUCACACAGUGACGGUAACUUACCAGAAAGGGACGGCUAACUACGUGCCAG
rnacentral:rRNA from 1 species